AUUCAUCUUGUCAAUUGUUUGUUGUUCUAAAGUAACUGAACCAAUCUGUGCAGACUUUUGACGAAAAAGAGAAUUAUGUAAAGCUCUGGAUUCAACUGUGGUGACUACGUG